ACAUGAGCGGCAUAAUGUGUGAUUAACAACGUUUACUUACAUCCAGCAUGUGUGUGGAAAAGCCGAUCUGGGACAUCUCCAUGUGGAAGGAGCUCUGGUUGCCCAGUGUCCCUGAGUGUGGACGAAGAGUACAGGGCAUCUGCGCAUUCCUUUGCAAUGGUGCCACGAUGGAGAGGAAGCUUACACGACCAACACACGCACAGACUGACCAGAAGCCGCACCCUGUUUGUCUGCAUGAAACUUGCACUCAGUGGGACCUGCUUGCGCUUGAGUCGCAGUUGUGCGCCAGUGACAUACGGCCGUGUGAUCUGCGUGGCCAAACGAACGCAUCGAAGACGGGUGGAAUUAAAUAAAAGGAGUGACUGUUCCAAUGGGAAGCUUCUGCUUGAUGUUGACGCUUCACUUUGUCAUCACUACCUUGUUUCCCUCUGCUGACGGAACUUUGGAAUUUCUUUCAUCAUUGAUUGAUUUCAGUAUAUUCUUACAUAACUGUAAAUCUCACAUAAUCUACUCGCAAAAAAAUAGGGAUAAAGGGAUGUUUGAAUAAAUGUGUUAUUUGUACAUCUUGUUCUACAAGGAGCUGAACAGCAAAAUUCACCACUGAUUUUUUUUUUCCUCAAGGAUGUCCACUUGUAUACCUUUCUGUGACUCUUCCAGUCUCUCUGUAUCUCUGUUGACAGUCUGUGACACUAAUCUUAGUGGUCACCUGCCUCUGAGAACAUCCUGUUGUCAGGUUUCAUGUUGGUCUCAUGAACCAGGAAAUGUAUUGGGCCAUUCGUGGAUCAAACACCUGUUGUGAAUUUUGCCAUUCAGCUGUUUGUUAGAGAACAGCAAGUUGGGCAAAAAGUACUGAACCAUUGAACAGGUGGACACUUAAAAGUUUAGAGAAGGUCAACUUAAGUUCAUUUGUAAAGGUUAAAGUGCAUUUUUAGGUUCCCUCUGAAAUUUCAUCUGGAAGAAGAGAGGAAGAGUUUUUUUGUGAGUAGUCAAUGUGACCUAAAUGACUAAUGACUGGUUAGACAGUUGAGUAUGUUUGUGGUUGGGGGAAUAGUUCCUGUUUGAUUAAAUCAAAGGAUGAUGAAGUCAGACAAAACCAUCUUCCUGGGAUAAGGGAAAACUGGUAGAUCACAGUCCAUAUUUAGUGAUGUUAAUGGGGCAUGACUUACACAGGUGUAAAAGAGAAGCUCAGAGAAGUAGUCUUUGAACAGGCAAUGUAUAAACUACUUUUAUUGUAUGGCUGUCGUUCCUUCAUGCAAGAAUGUUACAUCAUCUUUAAGCUUAUCCAGGUCCCUUUGUCAUUUUAGAGCAAAUGAAAAUGAAAAUACUGGUUUUGGCACACGUGUGCAAUCUUAGACAUAAAAAGAUUGAAGUAUUUGCGGCACAGUAAAGUGCUCUCAAGUUUCACAUCCUCCUCGAAGAGUAGUCUACAUCAGCGACAUGUCACACAGAUUACUCCGCAAAUCCAUGUAGGAAAGAGAUGACAGAAACUGUUUGGAAAAUGCAGCAGUGUGGAUGUGGAUUGGACGAGUGUUAUGUGUCAGGUCCUUUAAGGGGCCUAUCAGUAUUUGUAGGUUGUUGUGGCAGUUCCUGUUCAUGCAGACCUGCGAAAAUUACUCAGAAGAAACACUGUAAUAUACAUGCUAGAACAGUAGGUGGCGAUGGCACUUUCAUGCCGGAUGUCAUUCCUGCCCUGUUGCGUCGAAAGCAAUCGUUGCUGUCCGGGAAGUAUUUUAAAUGUUACCUGAGACGCUGGCUGAGGUCAUCUAAUUAGGUGACUUUGGUGUGUGCAAGUGUCCACAUUUGCAGCAGUUGCUGUGUAAACUAGGCAAGUGUCUAGCGCAUACAACACAAUAAUUGUCAAGUGUGUGUGUGUGUGUUCCGGGUUUUGUCUUCCCCCCUGUUUCACACACACCUGCUCCUGUGAGCAUCUUCACCACCUGUGCCUCGUUCACCCUAAUUACCCGUUGUAUAUAACCUCGUGUCUCAUUUCCUCUCGUUGCCAGUUCGUUGUACCUUGUUGUCGCGUUCCAGCAUUCCUUGUUUCCACGUCAUAGACUCACAGUAAGGCUUGACCCUGUUCCGAUUAUCGACCUUGUCUCUUUGCCUCAUGUUUUUGGAUACUGUUGCCUCUUUUGGAUUGCCUGCCUGUGUACCGACCUAUGCCCGUCUAUUAAACCUCUCUUUUUGGAAACUGUCCAUCUGUUUUGGAGUCGUGCAUUUUUGGGUCCUAUCCGCUGUUCCGUUCAUGACAAUAAUAGCUUUUUGUUCCGCUAAACACGCCCAGAUUUCAUUCUAAGUACAUUUGUCAGUAAAUUAAGAUAAAAUCACCAUAAUCAUAAUUCAGUGGUACUGUACCUUUAUAGAAAACUUCCUUGGGUUAAAGCAAGAUGAAAAGGUAUUUCCUUUCAAACAGGAAAAGACAAACUCAAAUUAAUUGGACUCCACUUUUACUAAACGAUGUCAUCACGUGACGGUAAGUAUUGGUAACAUAGGUCUCGAGCGUGAAACUGCGGUAAGCUGCGUCAGUGGAUUGUUGCUUUAAUUACUGCUGUCGUAAGGUAUUAUGUGUAACAUCUAGUUUCAUUUCGUAAAAAUUGGUCAGGAGUAUCAUUUCCUCAGCGUGGGUUAGAGGUCACAUCAUGGCUCAUAAGCAUUUUUUCAGUCAUCUCUCUUGGAUAGGAAGGGAAAGGCAAGUUCCUAAACAAAAAGAAAUUGAAUCCCAAGAGCCCCUCGGCUUGAUUACACUUAAAUAAAACCAGGUUAUUUUUUUACAUUCUCUUUUAAUAAGUUUUCAUAUUUUACAAUACAGUGCUUGUUUUCUUUAUAUUAAAAACAAAAAAAAAAUGGUCGUGUUUUUUGGGGGCUGGAACAGCUUAAUGGUAUUUCACUUCAUUUUCAUGGGGAAAAAUUAUUUGAUAUAAUUCAGUUAUGAGCUUGAUCACAGAACAAGUAAACUGUACUGGAUGUACUGUAUAUAGUGUACUGUAUAUACUGUCUAUGUGACAUUUUUGUUCGGUAUUGUGCCGUGAGAUUUUUCAAAUGUAAAAUACUGUAUGUACCUUGGCUCAAUAAAGGUUGGGAAACUGAUCUAAGUUAUCUAAUGUAUGUUGCUUUAUCUAAAUGCCACAGGGGUGGUGAUUUCGGCGAGUCAUUUUUAGAAAGAAAAAAUGAUUUGUCAUCGUCUCUCGCCUUCUUCCUAGUGUUCAUUUUGUAUUUAGGAAUUUUAAAUGAUCUUUUAUGGUCUAUUCUACCUCAGAUUUCUCAAGUUUAUUAUUGGGACAAGGUUGAUGACCUGGCGUGUCCGAUUUGAGGUGAAAGGAGAUCAGUGAGUCAGUGCGGUCGAUGAGAAGACAUGAAGUUUGUGCGUGUGUGUGCGUGCCGUGUGUGUCUAUGUAUUUUGACAGCUGCGGGAGUGCAGCUUCGCUGACCAGGCGCUGCCACACCUGCAGCCGUGCUGAGCCAGCAGCCAGCGACUCCUGUUUGCUUGCCUCAGUGCCAACCCUGCUAUCACUACCUAUAUGUCUGUGUG